rnacentral:rRNA from 2 species
GGACUACCGGGGUAUCUAAUCCCGUUUGCUCCCCUGGCUUUCGUGCCUCAGCGUCAGGAAAUGUCCAGAGACUCGCCUUCGCCACUGGUGUUCCGCUCGAUAUCUACGCAUUUCACUGCUACACCGAGCAUUCCAGUCUCCCCUCCAUUCCUCGAGCCAGAUAGUAUUCAAUGCAGUUCCGAAGUUAGGCUUCGGGAUUUCACAUCAAACUUACCUGACCGCCUACGCACCCUUUACGCCCAGUGAAUCCGAACAACGCUUGGGACCUCUGUAUUACCGCGGCGGCUGGCAC